UAUAUAUAUGAGGGUGUUUGUAUUGAGACUUUUAUGUAGCUCAAGCUGAACUUUGGCUUCUGAAAUUGACCUUGAACUCCUAGUCCGACUUUCAUCCAUAGAGCAUUGGGAUUACGGGGGGUGUAUCAUCAGGUCCAGCAAUUCACUUUCCUUGAUGAGUUACUUCCUUCAGUUGACUAUAUGCAACAUUUCUGAUGUAUGGGUCAUGAUGGUCAAGUUACAGUUGAUGGAACUUGAUCCAAUAAAUGUACCCUUAUUCAGUUUUCUGGGAAAUGGAUUUGAAACUUGCUCUGGAGUUUUCGAGCACUUGACUCUCUAUGAAUAAACACCAUGCUUGUUUUGGUUUUUUCAGGUGGUUUCUCUGUGUAGCUUUGGCUGUCCUGGAACUCUGUAGACCAGGUUGGCCUAGAACUCAGAGAUCUGGCUGCUUCUGCCCUAAGGGCUGGGAUUAAAGUACGUGUCACCACA